CCCCGGGUCUUGUACACACCGCCCGUCACACCAUGGGAGCGGGAUGUACCAGAAGUAGGUAGGCUAACCGCAAGGGGGCCGCUUACCACGGUGCGUUUCGUGACUGGGGUG
rnacentral:rRNA from 1 species